CAAUAGCGUAUAUUUAAGUUGCUGCAGUUAAAAAGCUCGUAGUUGGAUUUCGGGUGGGAAUGGCCGGUCCGCCGUUUCGGUGUGCACUUGCUACGCCCACCUUGCUGCCGGGGACGUGCUCUUGAGUUCACGCUCGGGACACGGAGUCGGCGAGGUUACUUUGAGUAAAUUAGAGUGUUCAAAGCAGGCCUACGCUCUGAAUACAUUAGCAUGGAAUAACACGAUAGGACUCUGGCCUAUCUUGUUGGUCUGUAGGACCGGAGUAAUGAUUAAGAGGGACAGUCGGGGGCACUCGUAUUUCAUUGUCAGAGGUGAAAUUCUUGGAUUUAUGAAAGACGAACUACUGCGAAAGCAUUUGCCAAGGAUGUUUUCACUAA
rnacentral:rRNA from 1 species